CUUAAUUUUAAAAUUUUUUUAUUUAAGUAGUGUAGAUUAGUAUAUAGUUACUUAUGUAUCUGAAACUUAAAAAGCUUGGCGUGUYAUAUAUCCAUUUAGGGGAGCUUGUUUAUUAAUUUGAUAAUCCCCAAUUAAUUCUUACUUUUUCUUGAAUAUCUACAGCUUGUGUAUUGCUGUCAUCAGUUUAUUUCGUAAGAAUUGCUAAAAAACUUGGAAGUGUUUAUGCUAAGAUGUCAAGUCAAAAUGCAGCUUAUGGAGGAGGUCAUGAGAAUGAGCUACAGUUUAUUAUUUUAAUUGGAUUAAUUUUGUAAAAAAUUAUAWAUUUGGACUUAAUAGUAAUAUAAAUAAUUAGUAUGUUUAUAUGAAUAAGGUUUUAUAACGCGU
rnacentral:rRNA from 1 species